AGGGUUCGAUUCUGGCUCAGGAUGAACGCUAGCGGCAGGCCUAAUACAUGCAAGUCGAACGGUAAACGCCCCUUCGGGGGCGUGAGAGUGGCGGACGGGUGCGCAACGCGUAUGCAACCCACCCCCCGACGGGCGCACAGCCGGUGGAAACGCCGGGUAAUGCGCCAUGCGGCCGCGAGGGGGCAUCCCCUUGGGGUCAAGGCGGCGACGCGGUCGGGGACGGGCAUGCGUCCCAUUAGAUAGUAGGCGGGGCAACGGCCCACCUAGUCUACGAUGGGUAGGGGAUCUGAGAGGACGGUCCCCCACACUGGUACUGAGACACGGACCAGACUCCUGCGGGAGGCAGCAGUAAGGGAUAUUGGUCAAUGGGCGGAAGCCUGAACCAGCCAUGCCCGCGUGAGGUAGGAAGGCCCUACGGGUCGUAAGCCUCUUUUACACGGGGACAAGGACGGCGUCGCGAACGCUGUUUGAGGGUACUGUGGGAAUAAGCGUCGGCUAACUCCGUGCCAGCCGCUGC
rnacentral:rRNA from 1 species